GCCCUUUUCCGGUUGAUCCUGCCGGAGAUCACUGCUAUCGGUGUUCGACUAAGCCAUGCGAGUCAAAUGUUCUUCGUGAACAUGGCGAACUGCUCAGUAACACGUAGAUAACCUGACCUUGGGACCGGAAUAACCCCGGGAAACUGGGGAUAAUACCGGAUAGACCAUGAAAGCUGGAAUGCAUCGUGGUUCAAAGGAGAAAUCUGCCCAAGGAUGGGUCUGCGGCCUAUCAGGUAGUAGCGGGUGCAAUGUACCUGCUAGCCAAAUACGGGUACGGGUUGUGAGAGCAAGAGCCCGGAGAUGGAUUCUGAGACAUUAAUCCAGGCCCUACGGGGCGCAGCAGGCGCGAAAUCUUUACAAUGCGGGAAACCGCGAUAAGGGGACACCGAGUGCCAGCAUAUAAUGUUGGCUGUCCGCAUGUGUAAACGGCAUGCGAUAGCAAGGGCCGGGCAAGACCGGUGCCAGCCGCCGCGGUAACACCGGCGGCCCGAGUGGUGAUUACUAUUAUUGGGUCUAAAGGGUCCGUAGCCGGUUUGAUCAGUCCUCUGGGAAAUCUGACAGCUCAACUGUUAGGCUGCCAGGGGAUACUGUCAGACUUGGGACCGGGAGAGGUAAGAGGUACUGCAAGGGUAGGAGUGAAAUCUUGUAAUCCUUGUAGGACCACCAGUGGCGAAGGCGUCUUACCAGAACGGGUCCGACGGUGAGGGACGAAAGCUAGGGGCACGAACCGGAUUAGAUACCCGGGUAGUCCUAGCCGUAAACGAUGCUCGCUAUGUGUCAGGGAUGGUGCGACCGUUCCUGGUGCCGGA
rnacentral:rRNA from 1 species